rnacentral:rRNA from 1 species
CGUGAGAUGUUGGGUUAAGUCCCGCAACGAGCGCAACCCUUGCCUUCAGUUACCAUCAUUAAGUUGGGGACUCUGGAGGGACCGCUGCGGUAACAACGCAGAGGAAGAUGGGGACGACGUCAAGUCAUCAUGGUCCUUAUGGCCGGGGCUACACACGUGCUACAAUGGCAGUUACAGAGGGAUGCGAUUCAGUAAUGAGGAGCGAAACUCAGAAAAGCUGCCGCAGUUCGGAUUGAGGUCUGCAACUCGGCCUCA